CCUGGUUGAUCUUGCCAGUAGUCAUAUGCUUGUCUCACAGAUUAAGCCAUGCAAGUGAAAGUACAUAUGUAAAUAAUAUAUUGAAACUGCGAACGGCUCAUUAAAACAGUUAUAAUCUACUUGAUGUUUUUAAUAUAAGGAUAACUACGGAAAAUCUGUAGCUAAUACUUGUGAAAAUACCUUUUGAUAUAUACAUAUGUAUGUAUCAUUAAGGUAUGUAUUUGUUAGAUAUAAGAAUAAAAUAAAUAUAAUUGAAUUAUAACAAAGAAGAAACACAUAAAAUAUGUGUAUUAUCAAUCGAGUAUCUGACCUAUCAGCUUUUGAUGUUAGGGUAUUGACCUAACAUGGCUAUGACGGGUAACGGGGAAUUAGAGUUCGAUUCCGGAGAGGGAGCCUGAGAAAUAGCUACCACAUCUAAGGAAGGCAGCAGGCGCGUAAAUUACCCAAUUCUAAAAAAGAGAGGUAGUGACAAGAAAUAACAAUACAAUAUCGAAAAAUGAUUUUGUAAUUGGAAUGAUAGGAAUUUACAAGGUUCCUAGAGAAACAAUUGGAGGGCAAGUCUGGUGCCAGCAGCCGCGGUAAUUCCAGCUCCAAUAGCAUAUAUUAAAAUUGUUGCAGUUAAAACGUUCGUAGUUGAAUAUUAAAGAAUCCGAUGUUUCAUUUAAACUGGUUUGGGAAAACCAAAUAUAUUAUAUAUUUUGCUUUGUUCAAAAUAAGGUUUUCUAAUAAAUUAUGUUUUUAUCAGAUAUGACAGAAUCUUUUUUAAAAUCUCUUCAAUAUGCUUUUAUUGCUUUUGAGAGGUUUUGUUACUUUGAGUAAAAUUAAGUGUUCAUAACAGACGGGUAGUCAUGAUUGAGUUCAUUGUGUUUGAAUACUACAGCAUGGAAUAACAAAUAUGAAUAAGCUAAUUAUUUUUUUUUUUCAUAAUUUUUUUUGAUAUUCUUAUUAGCUUAGUUACGAUUAAUAGGAGUAGCUUUGGGGGCAUUCGUAUUCAGAUGUCAGAGGUGAAAUUCUAAGAUUUUCUGGAGACGGACUACUGCGAAAGCAUUUGCCUAAUCUAUUUCCAUUAAUCAAGAACGAAAGUUAAGGGAGUGAAGACGAUCAGAUACCGUCGUAAUCUUAACCAUAAACUAUUCCUACUAUUCCAUUAAUCAAGAACGAAAGUUAAGGGAGUGAAGACGAUCAGAUACCGUCGUAAUCUUAACCAUAAACUAUACCGACUAGGUGUUGGAUGAAUAUAAAAAAUAUAUAAAUAUGUAGCAUUUCUUAGGGAAUGUUGAUUUUAUAUUAGAAUUGCUUCCUUCAGUACCUUAUGAGAAAUCAAAGUCUUUGGGUUCUGGGGCGAGUAUUCGCGCAAGCGAGAAAGUUAAAAGAAUUGACGGAAGGGCACCACCAGGCGUGGAGCUUGCGGCUUAAUUUGACUCAACACGGGAAAACUCACUAGUUUAAGACAAGAGUAGGAUUGACAGAUUAAUAGCUCUUUCUUGAUUUCUUGGAUGGUGAUGCAUGGCCGUUUUUAGUUCGUGAAUAUGAUUUGUCUGGUUAAUUCCGAUAACGAACGAGAUCUUAACCUGCUAAUUAGCGGUAAGUACACUAUAUUUUUAUUUGAAAUUGAAUACCGAUCGAGAUCUUAACCUGCUAAUUAGCGGUAAGUACACUAUAUUUUUAUUUGAAAUUGAAUAUAGGUAAUUAUACAUGUUUAUUCAGUGUUCAAAUUAGGAUAUUUUUUUAUUAAAAUAUUCUUUUCCCUGUUCUACUAAUAAUUUGUUUUUUUUUACUCUAUUUCUCUCUUCUUUUAAGAAUGUACUUGCUUGAUUAAAUAAAGCUUCUUAGAGGAACAGUGUGUAUCUAACACAAGGAAGUUUAAGGCAACAACAGGUCUGUGAUGUCCUUAGAUAAACUAGGCUGCACGCGUGCUACAAUGAUAUAUAUAACAAGUUGUUAAAAAUGUACUUAUAAAUAAGUGUGUACAAUUUUUCCUGUACUGAAAAGUAUAGGUAAUCUUUAUCAGUAUAUAUCGUAAUUGGGAUAGAUUAUUGCAAUUAUUAAUCUUGAACGAGGAAUGCCUAGUAAGCAUGAUUCAUUAGAUUGUGCUGACUACGUCCCUGCCCUUUGUACACACCGCCCGUCGCUCCUACCGAUUGAAAGAUAUGAUGAAUUGUUUGGAUAUGAAUUAAAAUAAUGAAAUUUUAUAUUUCUGAUUUUUUCUAGAAGAACUGUAAAUCCUAUCUUUUAAAGGAAGGAGAAGUCGUAACAAGGUUUCCGUAGGUGAACCUGCGGAAG
rnacentral:rRNA from 1 species